AAAUAUACAAUAUGUUUAUAAGUCUUAAUAUAGAUUAGAGUGGUUAGUAAAUAAAUUUAAAGAGAAUUGAUAUAAGAAAAUUUAUUUAGAGAUUUAUCUAUUUUGAUUAUAGUAUUUAUAUUAUGUAGGAUUUAGAUAUUUAGUAUAAAGCUUAAGAGAAGGUUGGGGCCUAAAGAAGAAAAUCUUAACUAAUAGGAGGCUUAUUGAAAGGGAUGAAAGUAAGGUAUGGUUGGAUGAAGGCAAAGAAUGAGAAACGUCAUUCCUAUUGAUCGAAGGCCAUGCCGAAUGGACUUCAAGGAGGCUGCCCGAGGCCUUAUUAGGGAUUAGGGUUUUUUUUUUUCGAAUUUAUUCGAGCUUUGGAGGCUAAGGUCAGCAAGUUUAGGAUUUUGGAUAUAAUUUGGGCGAAGAGUUUGUAUAAUUUCAACUUUUUAUGAAGGAGAUAUAGGUGUUCAAAGUUAAGGUGUUAAUUUAAGAUAUAUUGUUAAUCUUUUGAGGAUACAACGAGCUAUACAAUAGCUUUUGAAGAUCGAAAGGUACGGCUGAAAUGGCGAUUUUAAGGCCUACAUCUUUUAUAAAAAAGUUAUUUCUUUUGGAGUUCAUGUAAAUGAGUUAUAAGGAGUUGAAGGCGGCACUUCCAAAUCAAAGGCAAUAAGUGAGUAGUUUUAUUUAUAGUAAUGGUUGGAGCCAUAAUUUGAGUUUUUGGACAAAUUUUU
rnacentral:lncRNA from 1 species